UUACCAACUGCCACUGGGCUUCCCCUGAUGUCUCACUCUGAUACUGUUCUCAUGCGGGCUGUUAUUAUCCAUCUUGUUUCUUAUGCAGAAAGGUGUGAGAGAUUCAGUUGCCUUGCUUCGUUGUUAAUGCUAGUUUUAUAGUGUCAAAGAAAAACCAGAGCUGGACAGUAGUUAAAGAGGCCCUGUUGCAAGUGCUUUAUGAAUAUGAAUCAUUUAACUUCACUACACCAGUCAUUCCCAUUUUGCAGACGAAGAAAUGGAGUCUCAGAGAGCCUAAGUUUCCUGUCUAAGAUCAUGUAACUUCUAAAUUUCUAAACGGCUCUCCAGUAGCAUUCCAUUUGAAAUGGAAUUGAUUUUGUCUUGAGGCAGCUAACAUUAGGAGCUAAGGCAGGGAACUCAGCACACUCCAAAACAGUUCCCGCUAACUCUGAUCACGAGGAAGAUUUUCAUUAUGUGGACUCAGAAUCUGUGUCAUGUUCCUGCAUUCCAGCCCUGUGUUGAGCAGACUCCAAUUUGCUUAUGAAGUUUGUGGCUAUGACACCUGAUCUCAACCUCUUGCUCCAGUUGCAGCCUGAGCAGAGCAGAGUAAAUCAUGGCUUCAUCAGCCUCAUUUCAGGCAGUGGGAUUCUAAUUAAAUAAAGCCUUAA
rnacentral:lncRNA from 1 species